UACGUAGGCAGCGAGCGUUGUUCGGAAUUACUGGGCGUAAAGAGUGUGUAGGCGGUGCUCUAAGUUCGGUGUGAAAUCUCCUGGCUUAACUGGGAGGGUGCGCCGGAAACUGGAGUGCUUGAGCGUGGGAGAGGAAAGCGGAAUUCCUGGUGUAGCGGUGAAAUGCGUAGAUAUCAGGAGGAACACCGGUGGCGAAGGCGGGUCUCUGGGCCGAUACUGACACUGAGGAGCGAAAGCGUGGGGAGCGAACAGG
rnacentral:rRNA from 1 species